AUUGAACGCUGGCGGCAGGCUUAACACAUGCAAGUCGAGCGGGGUGAUGGUGCUUGCACUAUCACUUAGCGGCGGACGGGUGAGUAAUGCGUAGGAAUCUGCCUAUUAGUGGGGGACAACAUCACGAAAGGGAUGCUAAUACCGCAUACGUCCUACGGGAGAAGGCAGGGGAUCACUUGUGACCUUGCGCUAACAGAUGAGCCUAGGUCGGAUUAGGUAGUUGGUGGGGUGAAGGCCUACCAAGGCGACGAUCUGUAGCGGGUCUGAGAGGAUGAUCCGCCACACUGGGACUGAGACACGGCCCAGACUCCUACGGGAGGCAACAGUGGGGAAUAUUGGACAAUGGGGGGAACGCUGAUCCAGCCAUGCCGCGUGUGUGAAGAAGGCCUUAUGGUUGUAAAGCACUUUAAGCGAGGAGGAGGCUCUUUUGGUUAAUACCCAAGAUGAGUGGACGUUACUCGCAGAAUAAGCACCGGCUAACUCUGUGCCAGCAGCCGCAGUAA
rnacentral:rRNA from 1 species